rnacentral:rRNA from 1 species
GACGAACGCUGGCGGCGUGCUUAACACAUGCAAGUCGGACGGAAAGGCCCUGCUUUUGUGGGGUGCUCGAGUGGCGGACGGGUGAGUAACACGUGAGUAACCUGCCCUUGACUUUGGGAUAACUUCAGGAAACUGGGGCUAAUACCGGAUAGGAGCUCCUGCUGCAUGGUGGGGGUUGGAAAGUUUCGGCGGUUGGGGAUGGACUCGCGGCUUAUCAGCUUGUUGGUGGGGUAGUGGCUUACCAAGGCUUUGACGGGUAGCCGGCCUGAGAGGGUGACCGGCCACAUUGGGACUGAGAUACGGCCCAGACUCCUACGGGAGGCAGCAGUGGGGAAUAUUGCACAAUGGGCGGAAGCCUGAUGCAGCAACGCCGCGUGCGGGAUGACGGCCUUCGGGUUGUAAACCGCUUUCGCCUGUGACGAAGCGUGAGUGACGGUAAUGGGUAAAGAAGCACCGGCUAACUACGUG